AGGAGAUUGAAGAGGGAUUCAAGGAGAAAUGUUUGGAGAUUCGACGUGCGGGGAGGCCGAUUUGAGUGGCAAGGGCAUAUCGAGCUAGAGCUUUGGCCGGUUUAAGGUACAGGUGUCCCUGAGGUAUAGAGCGAGCUUUCCUACCGUUCAGGUUUUCAUCGGAGUUAUCGAGGUAGCUGCAUGGCG